GGCCUUGUAGCUCAGUUGGUAGAGCAGCGGACUGAAAAUCCGCGUGUCGGCGGUUCGAAUCCGCCCGAGGCCACCA
rnacentral:tRNA from 1 species